rnacentral:rRNA from 1 species
GACAGAGGGUGCGAACGUUGCUCGGAAUGACUGGGCGUAAAGCGCGUGCAGGCGGCUCUGCAAGUCCGGUGUGAAAGCCCAGGGCUCAACCCUGGAAGUGCACUGGAAACUACGGAGCUUGAGUCCUGGAGAGGAGAGCGGAAUUCCCGGUGUAGAGGUGAAAUUCGUAGAUAUCGGGAGGAACACCAGUGGCGAAGGCGGCUCUCUGGACAGGUACUGACGCUGAGACGCGAAAGCGUGGGUAGCAAACAGG